GAUGAACGCUGGCGGCGUGCCUAAUACAUGCAAGUCGAGCGAACGGACGAGAAGCUUGCUUCUCUGAUGUUAGCGGCGGACGGGUGAGUAACACGUGGAUAACCUACCUAUAAGACUGGGAUAACUUCGGGAAACCGGAGCUAAUACCGGAUGAUAUUUUGAACCGCAUGGUUCAAAAGUGAAAGACGGUCUUGCUGUCACUUAUAGAUGGAUCCGCGCUGCAUUAGCUAGUUGGUAAGGUAACGGCUUACCAAGGCAACGAUGCAUAGCCGACCUGAGAGGGUGAUCGGCCACACUGGAACUGAGACACGGUCCAGACUCCUACGGGAGGCAGCAGUAGGGAAUCUUCCGCAAUGGGCGAAAGCCUGACGGAGCAACGCCGCGUGAGUGAUGAAGGUCUUCGGAUCGUAAAACUCUGUUAUUAGGGAAGAACAUAUGUGUAAGUAACUGUGCACAUCUUGACGGUACCUAAUCAGAAAGCCACGGCUAACUACGUGCCAGCAGCCGCGGUAAUACGUAGGUGGCAAGCGUUAUCCGGAAUUAUUGGGCGUAAAGCGCGCGUAGGCGGUUUUUUAAGUCUGAUGUGAAAGCCCACGGCUCAACCGUGGAGGGUCAUUGGAAACUGGAAAACUUGAGUGCAGAAGAGGAAAGUGGAAUUCCAUGUGUAGCGGUGAAAUGCGCAGAGAUAUGGAGGAACACCAGUGGCGAAGGCGACUUUCUGGUCUGUAACUGACGCUGAUGUGCGAAAGCGUGGGGAUCAAACAGGAUUAGAUACCCUGGUAGUCCACGCCGUAAACGAUGAGUGCUAAGUGUUAGGGGGUUUCCGCCCCUUAGUGCUGCAGCUAACGCAUUAAGCACUCCGCCUGGGGAGUACGACCGCAAGGUUGAAACUCAAAGGAAUUGACGGGGACCCGCACAAGCGGUGGAGCAUGUGGUUUAAUUCGAAGCAACGCGAAGAACCUUACCAAAUCUUGACAUCCUUUGACAACUCUAGAGAUAGAGCCUUCCCCUUCGGGGGACAAAGUGACAGGUGGUGCAUGGUUGUCGUCAGCUCGUGUCGUGAGAUGUUGGGUUAAGUCCCGCAACGAGCGCAACCCUUAAGCUUAGUUGCCAUCAUUAAGUUGGGCACUCUAAGUUGACUGCCGGUGACAAACCGGAGGAAGGUGAGGAUGACGUCAAAUCAUCAUGCCCCUUAUGAUUUGGGCUACACACGUGCUACAAUGGACAAUACAAAGGGCAGCGAAACCGCGAGGUCAAGCAAAUCCCAUAAAGUUGUUCUCAGUUCGGAUUGUAGUCUGCAACUCGACUACAUGAAGCUGGAAUCGCUAGUAAUCGUAGAUCAGCAUGCUACGGUGAAUACGUUCCCGGGUCU
rnacentral:rRNA from 1 species